rnacentral:rRNA from 1 species
AGCAGCCGCGGUAAUUCCAGCUCCAAUAGCGUACAUUAAAGUUGUUGCAGUUAAAAAGCUCGUAGUUGAAUUUCGGGAUCAGUGGGUCGGUCGUGCCACUGGUAUGCACUGGCCCUACUGGUUCCUCCUUCUUGAAGAACUGUAAUGCCAUUAAUUUGGUGUUGCAGGGAAACAGGACUGUUACUUUGAAAAAAUUAGAGUGUUUAAAGCAGGCAAUCGCUUGAAUACAUUAGCAUGGAAUAAUGAAAUAGGACGAUCGAUCCUAUUUUGUUGGUUUCUAGGAUUGACGUAAUGAUUAAUAGGGAUAGUUGGGGGCAUUAGUAUUCAAUUGUCAGAGGUGAAAUUCUUGGAUUUAUUGAAGACUAACUACUGCGAAAGCAUUUGCCAAGGAUGUUUUCAUUAAUCAAGAACGAAAGUUAGGGGAUCGAAGACGAUCAGAUACCGUCGUAGUCUUAACCAUAAACUAUGCCGACUAGGGAUCGGAUGAUGUUAAUUU